rnacentral:rRNA from 1 species
CAAUAGCGUAUAUUUAAGUUGUUGCAGUUAAAAAGCUCGUAGUUGGAUUUCGGUUAAGAGCGACCGGUCCGCCGUUUGGUGUGCACUGGUUGGUUUUAACUUCCUGUAGAGGACGUGCUCUGGGUUUAACGACCUGGACUCGGAGUCUACGUGGUUACUUUGAAAAAAUUAGAGUGUUCAAAGCGGGCUUACGCUUGAAUAUUUCAGCAUGGAAUAACACUAUAGGACUCCUGUCCUAUUUCGUUGGUCUCGGGACGGGAGUAAUGAUUAAGAGGAACAGUUGGGGGCAUUCGUAUUUCAUUGUCAGAGGUGAAAUUCUUGGAUUUAUGAAAGAUGAACUUCUGCGAAAGCAUUUGCCAAGGAUGUUUUCAUUAA